rnacentral:tRNA from 1 species
GGAGAGAUGUCCGAGCGGCUGAAGGAGCACGAUUGGAAAUCGUGUGUACGCUAAUACCGUACCGAGGGUUCAAAUCCCUCUCUCUCCGCCA